rnacentral:rRNA from 1 species
GUGAGUAACGCGUGGAAAACCUGCCGUAUACCGGGGGAUAACACUUAGAAAUAGGUGCUAAUACCGCAUAAGCGCACAGCUUCGCAUGAAGCAGUGUGAAAAACUCCGGUGGUAUACGAUGGCUCCGCGUCUGAUUAGCUAGUUGGCGGGGUAACGGCCCACCAAGGCAGCGAUCAGUAGCCGGCCUGAGAGGGUGAACGGCCACAUUGGGACUGAGACACGGCCCAAACUCCUACGGGAGGCAGCAGUGGGGAAUAUUGCACAAUGGGGGAAACCCUGAUGCAGCGACGCCGCGUGAGUGAAGAAGUAUUUCGGUACGUAAAGCUCUAUCAGCAGGGAAGAAAAUGACGGUACCUGACUAAGAAGCCCCGGCUAACUACGUGCCAGCAGCCGCGGUAAUACGUAGGGGGCAAGCGUUAUCCGGAUUUACUGGGUGUAAAGGGAGCGUAGACGGCAGCGCAAGUCUGGAGUGAAAUGCCGGUGCCCAACCCCGGAACUGCUUUGGAAACUGUGCAGCUUGAGUGCGGGAGAGGUAAGUGGAAUUCCUAGUGUAGCGGUGAAAUGCGUAGAUAUUAGGAGGAACACCAGUG